rnacentral:rRNA from 1 species
UAGGGAAUCUUCCGCAAUGGGCGAAAGCCUGACGGAGCAACGCCGCGUGAGUGAUGAAGGUCUUCGGAUCGUAAAACUCUGUUAUUAGGGAAGAACAAAUGUGUAAGUAACUAUGCACGUCUUGACGGUACCUAAUCAGAAAGCCACGGCUAACUACGUGCCAGCAGCCGCGGUAAUACGUAGGUGGCAAGCGUUAUCCGGAAUUAUUGGGCGUAAAGCGCGCGUAGGCGGUUUUUUAAGUCUGAUGUGAAAGCCCACGGCUCAACCGUGGAGGGUCAUUGGAAACUGGAAAACUUGAGUGCAGAAGAGGAAAGUGGAAUUCCAUGUGUAGCGGUGAAAUGCGCAGAGAUAUGGAGGAACACCAGUGGCGAAGGCGACUUCCUGGUCUGUAACUGACGCUGAUGUGCGAAAGCGUGGGGAUCAAACAGG